AGCAGCCGCGGUAAUUCCAGCUCCAAUAGCGUAUAUUAAAGUUGUUGCAGUUAAAAGCUCGUAGUUGAAUUUCGGGAUUGACACAUCGGUCGUGCCUUAAGGGGUGUGAACUGGUGUAGUCAAUUUCUCACCUUCUGGAGAACCGCGAUGUCCUUAAUUGGGUGCCGCGAGGAACCAGGACCUUUACUUUGAAAAAAUUAGAGUGUUUAAAGCAGGCAUUUUUGCUUGAAUACAUUAGCAUGGAAUAAUAAAAUAGGACGGCAUGAUUCUAUUUUGUUGGUUUCUAGGAUCACCGUAAUGAUUAAUAGGGAUAGUUGGGGGCAUUAGUAUUCAAUUGUCAGAGGUGAAAUUCUUGGAUUUAUUGAAGACUAACUACUGCGAAAGCAUUUGCCAAGGAUGUUUUCAUUAAUCAAGAACGAAAGUUAGGGGAUCGAAGACGAUCAGAUACCGUCGUAGUCUUAACCAUAAACUAUGCCGACUAGGAAUCAGACGAUGUAAUUUUUUAAUGACUCGUUUGGCA
rnacentral:rRNA from 1 species